rnacentral:rRNA from 1 species
CAGUAGCCGCGGGAAUACGUAGGUGGCAAGCGUUGUCCAGAAUUAUUGGGCGUAAAGGGCUCGCAGGCGGUUUCUUAAGUCUGAUGUGAAAGCCCCCGGCUCAACCGGGGAGGGUCAUUGGAAACUGGGAAACUUGAGUGCAGAAGAGGAGAGUGGAAUUCCACGUGUAGCGGUGAAAUGCGUAGAGAUGUGGAGGAACACCAGUGGCGAAGGCGACUCUCUGGUCUGUAACUGACGCUGAGGAGCGAAAGCGUGGGGAGCGAACAGGAUUAGAUACCCGUGUAGUCCCUGUCUCUUAUAC